CUCCAUUGUUCCCAGGACUGUGCCUAGGAAGCAGGUCCCUGGGGCCAGGAGCCUGCAAGGUGGCAGGGCUGGUCUUCUGUACCACUGUCCAGCCUGGGAGGAAAGGCUGGCAGGCAAGGACCUCCAGAACCGGCUUGCUUCCUGCUGGCAUAAAAGGACAAUGGCAGAAGGGGUGCGGGAUUGUGGCUGGUGGCUGAGGGGCAAGGAGGGGCCAACACCCUGCCCGGAGGUGACACCGUGGACACGGGGCUUGGGCUCUCAGGGGUCAGGGACCAGGGUUUUAUUCACCGUGGAAGGGCAUAAUUACAAAACUUAGUUGAACAACCUCAUUUGGCUUGUAUUGCUGUUCUAGGAUUAGGUAAUGCUCCAUUCCAUAAAACAACAGCUGCUCUGGUGGGAUGAGCAGGAGAGUUGGGUCUGUCCAGACUGAAGGGCUGGAAAAGCAGAAUGAAAACAGAUCAUCCUCCAAAUGGCUUUCCUUGGAAGGGGACAGAGAGGGACAGCAGUGAGAAGACAGCUGCCUGGUUCACAUCAGAUGGCUUUAGGGUGCUUUGACUUAGGGUUAAAGGGUACAGGGCUAAGGCAGGGAACUUCGCUGAGUUUAGGGACCUGUUUGGGAAACUUGGCUCGUGAUUUCUAAGAAGGUCUGAUAAGGAGUUAGUUUCACUUUGGUAACGUGGGACUCUGCAGGGUGAGUCGGCUGUGAUCUGCCUGGUGGGGCCCCUGGUGCAGAACGGCAGUAGCUAUGGUUUUGCUGCAUUCUGAGUUCACCCCACACCCACUAAGUUCCUGAGGGGUAGGACCACGGUUUGGAGAAGAGUGGGCACCACAGGAGGUGGUGAAGUCUACCAAGUGUCAAGGAGGUAUGCUAGGAGCCGUGGAGCACAUCCCAGGAGGGCCGGGAGCAGGGCAGGCAGGGGUGAGUCACAUGAGCAGAGGGCAACAGGGCAGAGGCUGGCGGCAUGUUUGAGAAAUGGAGCGGCUGUGUGCCACGUGGGGCCUCAGGGAUGAAGACGGCCCCUGGGUGUCCUGGUCACAUUCCUCAUUGCUGGGAUGGAAUACCUGACACGUGCAGCUGAAAGGAGGAGAGGUUUAUUCUGGUUCACAGCUCAGAAGUUUCAGUCUGUAGUCAGUGGCUCAGUCACAGAGGUGAUGUGGCAGAAGGCCUGGCACAGGGAAGCCACUCACCAGUUAGACCAGUGAUGGCGAACCUUUUAGAGCUUUCAAUAAACAGCCCACUGUAGCAUGCAUGCCAUAGGUUCACCACCACUGAGUUUGAUGGAGGGCAACAACACCCUGAGGGGGGCUUCCCCACACUUAACUGAAUGUACCAAACAAACAACCUCUCUUUGAGAUGUUGAAAGAUAGAACCCGGUGAGAGCUUUAGGAGGUGAUCAAGGGUCUGUCAUCAGGAGUGGAUUAAUCCAUGCAUGGGUUCCUGGCCUCCCUCGAGGGUGCGUCUGCUAUAAAAGCCCAGCUGUAAGAGUGCUUCCUUAUUGUUUGUGGCACAGUGCCCUGUGUGGCUUGGGCUGCGCCAGUGCAAAGGCUGUCACCAGAUGCAGCCCCUUGACCUUGGCCCAGAAUCAUGAGCUGGCAUAAACCACUCUUCUCUAUAAUUUGCCCAGUCCGUGGUAUUAUGUUAUUAGCAACCGACAAUGUGUUAUGAAAUACACCUUGAAGAGCCAGCAGACAAAAAGACAACCGUUAAAUGCAAACAUGAUUAUAAAAAACAAUCAUCCCAGAGCAAGGCAGGAAAGGAAGAAAAGAGAAACAAGAUCAAAGGUCAAAUAGAAAACAAAUAGCAAGAGGGCCAACUCUGAAUCAUGUUCUCAAUUAUGGUCUGUUUUCUUCAUACAUUGAUGAACCAAUCAGGAAGAGGAUUAUACAAUCUUUGUCCAUAAUACAUUGCCCUGUGAAUUAGGAAAUCAGAAAACCUGUGGAUCUCAGGACAAAGGAAUCAUGUACCAUGCUUGCACAUGGACUAUGAUCAAACAGUAGGUUAACAAACUGUAAGCCCCAUGUUCUGGCUGAUUCCAUGAAGGGUGGCAGAGGCCAAUUCUAGUCCAGUUGCAGUCCCCUCCUGAGGACCCUGCUUAAGGGUGUCACCCCAGGGAAAGUUUAAUUAUCAUAAGAUGUUUAGCGUUACUAUAGGUUAGUGCCCACUCUGCUAUGUGCUGUAAUAGAUUCCUAGGCACAAUUAUUAUUUGGUUUGUGUUUAUUGAUUUAAAACUCUUUCUAGAAAUGAAUCUCCUGAGACUCUUACCCUUAUCCACGGCUCAGCUUACCUGUCCUGCCCUGGGCCUCUGGGAGAGAGAUGGCUCUCCCCCGUACCUCCAUACCUGUAUCUCCUUCUUGCUGCCUUUAGCUGGCACACACACUUAGGGACUGGCCUUGGGGACAUGAGUACCCCUCACUACUGACUAGGAGUCAACUGAAAGCAGGGUUUAUGUCUGAGCCAUCUUUGGGGUUCCCAGUACACCUGGCAUAAGGAGAUGCUCAGAAACUCAUGGAACGAAGCCUCAUGGCCCUGAAGCUUGGGGUCUGUGUCAUGUUAGGUGGAACCAACUGGUAGGAAAGUGACCAGGAGGGACAGCUGUCAUCCUGUGCUCUCCGCAUAGACCUGCAGGUUGGGGUUGGGGCCUGUGGUGUAUUAAUGGACUCUCUUGGCAGAGAGCUCUUUGAUUUGGGUUGGUGUGUGGCCGACAGGCAGGGAAGCAGGGCACUGCCCAAUGACAGUUGAUGUCAGUGCCCAGGGUUGCAACACAGAUGCUGUUGACAUUUUAAUGACGAGAACCCUCUUCUUAACCUCGAUGGAGAACAACAAACUAUGAGUCUGCUCCCCCAAGAUUGUGAGACCCCAUAUCUGUUGGGGCAGGAACAACUCUCCUUUCUGCUCUUGAUUCUCAGUUCUCUUUUCCAAAUUCAGAAGUUUGUUUUCACUUAGAAAACAAGGAAAGAAGGAGAAGGAGAGGAGGGGAAACAAACGUGGAAAAUUUCAUUGUUGACUUUGACCUUUUCUGUUUGCCAGGGAAAGAAAACAGGUUUCUCAAACUCUCUGGCACUUUUAGAUUUUAAGUAUUUUAUUUUUCAUCUUCCUGCCAACAUAAGUUUCCUCCUGGGGCUGAGUCCAUUAAUUUAUAUUAAGAAAUAGCCAGAGGUUUACAUAUUUUAAAGCAAAUGUAGGAAAUCUCUUUUUUUCCAAAUGAAAUCCUGCAGUGUUAACUAUGGAAAUGGUUCACAUAUCCUCAAAUUCCACUGCCAGCCCGAGUACUGUUAUUUUCUUAAAUUGCCGAAGAACAGAAUCCAGACCACCUUUUGUGGACUCGAGACAUGCACCCUUUGAUCAUGGGUCUCUCCCUCCCCAAAUCUCUCUGUCCUUUCCCAGCAGAUGCACCUGUCCCAGCACCCCUGCUGGGCUGGUCACCCCAGAAAAGCCCCUCAUCCCACACGGAGUCUAGCAAGGCAGGACCACUCCUCCACCCAUCGCCAAACAGCUCUAGGAGUUAAGACACUGUUCGAAGGCCAGUGGGACACAAGUGGAAGGGGAUUGCAUUGCAAGAGAGAGGGCAGACAGCAUGAGAGGUGGCCUUUGGGCAUUCAUCCCUCAGCCUGAGGCCUGCUGGCCUCUGUCCCUGGUCAGCAUCACAUUGCCAGGGUGGGAACCACCUUCCCUGUCCUCACUUGGAGCAGCCCAGCCCCUCGGGGCCUCAGUCUCUACCCCAGAGGGACCUUAUCUUAGUGUAGAGUAGCCAGGAGCCAGGGAGGGUCCCCCUUUCCACCCCAGCCCCCUCCCCCCCAAGGCGGGCUUUCUUCACACCCUCAUCCCUCCUCACCACAGCCUCGCUGCCCAUGGCUCAUUCCCUAUGCGCUGAAACAGGGAGCUGCUCUGCGUCGUGGGAGUCUCCCGAUGCCCUGCUCCGUCCCCCAGAACACCAGCCAUCCCUUGCACAUCGUGUCCACACUGCACCCCUACCCUCCCAUUAGGGAUGGCCAUGGAGCCACCUAGGUCAUCAGAUCAGUGCUGCACAGUAUCCGGUGUGUGUUCAUGAGAUCCUCAUGUGCUCAGCAAAGGCCCCAGAGGCUGAGAGGGGCAAGGCGGGAAACUCAGGGUGCCAGAGAGAAGCUGCCAAGGGUUUCCUUUCAGUGAAAAGACAGAUGUUCUCAAUCCCAAGUUUCUGUGCUUUUUAUGGAUUACUUUUCAAGGGGUGUUAUACAGGUGUGGUUUUUUUUCUUGUUUUGUUUGGUUUGGUUAUUUGAGACAAGGUCUUGCUAUGUAGUUCAGGCUGGCCUUGAACUCACAGCAGUCCUCCUGUCUCAGCCUCCUGAGUGCUGGGAUUACAGGUGUGCACCACUGCACCUGGCAGGACUUUAAACAUUUAUGUUUCAAAUUGAUUUGUAGAAAUAAAUUUAUCAGGGCCAGGGAUGUAGCUCAGUGGUGUUGUACCUGCAUGGCAAGUGCAAGGUCCUGAGUUCAACUUCUGGUACUAAAUAAAUAAAUAAAUUUAUCAAAGAAAAUAUAGUACAUAUGCACAGUGGUAUAGUAUUCAGCCAUAAAGAAUGGAAUUCCGUCACUGGCAGCAAGUUGGAUAGAACUGGAGGACGCUGUGUCAAGACAGACCCAGAGGCACACCUGAAAAAGUCAACCUGAGUGUGGACUAGCGAUUGCUUGGGGCUGUGGUGGGUUGAGGUGCAAGAAGCGGGCUGGGUUUGCUCCAUGCACGCUGUAGGCGUGCGAGGAAACAGCAGGCGGAACCCUAUCGGUAUGUCCGAUUAGCCUGCCCUAACCGAGAGAGAUGGUACUGACACAUCAACGAUGACAAGAGGGCAGGGGUGAAAGGAAAGAAGAAGACAGAGAAAAGUUCAUACUUGUUCCUGCUGCUUUCAAACCCUGAGCUUGAGAGAGGUGUUCAGGGCUUGGUAGUGGAGGGGCCAUGGGGCCUGUAGUCGGGGCCAAGCCAGAGGGGAAAUGUCGAAACUUUUCCAUUUAAAUCAAGUACAGCAUCACUGUUUUUUGUUGUUGCUUUGGUGGAGCUGGGGAUGGAACCCAGGACACUGCACAUGCUGGGCCAGCACUCUACUGCUGAGCCACAUCCCCAGCCCAGUUUUUUGAAAGCAGAGAUUAUUAAAGUCCCCCCUUUUUUCUUUAAAAAAGAGGACUAUGUUUACAGGCUUGAAUGAGGCUCUAGGACAAAGAAGAAAGCACUUUUUACACUGAAGUGUUUGCAGUUUUUAUUUGAUACAUAAAGUGAAAAAAUACAUACAUUCAAGAAGGGGUUAAAUAAAUCCACAUAUUGUAGAAAACUGUCAAUAUUUGGAUGUAUAACCUUAGUCUCCUUUCUAAAUAUCUUGAGAUCCUAUGAAUGACAGAAAUCUUUGCAGAUUAUGGUUUCAACCAGUGUACCAUUUGUUGUAUUUUGUCCUUCUGAAUUCUCAGAAUGAGUAUAUUUGUAUUUAGUUGAGAGAUGCAGACAAUUAUAUUAUUUAUUGGAAAGAUAAGUAUCAUAAAAUUACUUUCAAGAUAAUUUAUCUUGCUGCUCUCUUCUUUAGCGAAGGUGGUUUUGUUCUUAUUAAGAAACCUAAUAACACAUUUCUCUCCAUUGUACGGGGGUCAAAAGUCAGGGGAACAGAAAAUCAGGCAGAUGUAGAAGGUGGUGGCAAGUCAUGGGCUCUUGUUAUCCAGUGUUCUCUGGCAUCGCAGGCUCACACACCAGCCCACAGCAGCCAGGAAGCCCUGGCUGGCACCUGAUGCAGGACUUCUCCCCUGGCUCCUCCAAUGGAGCUUGGAAUGACAAGAUGAGCUUUGCCUCUUCUCCAAAGUCUCCUUAAACAAAGAGUAAGUAGAAAUAGCAGCUUUUGGGCCGGGGAUUUAGCUCAGUGGUUCCGCUGCCUGCCUCGAAAAUGCAAGGAUCCGAGUUUGAUCCCCGG
rnacentral:lncRNA from 1 species